UACGAACCGUCCAAACGUUAUUCGGAAUUACUGGGUUUAAAGGGUACGUAGGCGGCGCUGUUAGUCGGGUGUGAAAGCCCACGGCUCAACCGUGGAAUUGCGCCCGAAACUGCAGUGCUCGAGGGAGACAGAGGUAAGCGGAACUGAUGGUGGAGCGGUGAAAUGCGUUGAUAUCAUCAGGAACACCGGUGGCGAAAGCGGCUUACUGGGUCUCUUCUGACGCUGAGGUACGAAAG
rnacentral:rRNA from 1 species